rnacentral:misc_RNA from 1 species
AACGCACCUUGCGCUCCCUGGCAUUCCGGGGAGCAUGCCUGUUUGAGCGUCACGUUAACAUCUCAUUCCCACUCGUGGUGAAUAGAGUACUUGGACCGUGCCGUCGUAGGCUCGUCCUGAAAUGCAUUAGCCUGCUGCUCCUUUCCGAGCUGGCCAUUGGUGUGAUAAUUAUCUACGCCAUCUCAGUGCCGUUUGGAUCGCGAACCUGGCUUCCAAUCGUCUUCGGACAGUUUAACAUUUUAAUGCUCUGGCCUCAAAUCAGGUAGGACUACCCGCUGAACUUAA